UUGCUGUGAUGACUGUCUUAGGACACCUUUGGAAUAACCAUGAAAAGAAAACAUUUCUGAGCAAC